rnacentral:rRNA from 1 species
AAGUCGUAACAAGGUCUCCGUUGGUGAACCAGCGGAGGGAUCAUUACCGAGUUAUUCUACUCCCAAACCCCUGUGAACUUAUACCUUUACUGUUGCUUCGGCGGGUUAACGCCCCGGAAGGCCCGCGAGGGCCGCCGGAACCAGGCGCCCGCCGGGGGACCCAAACUCUUGUAUCUUUUUUAUAGCAUGUCUGAGUGGAAUCAUAAACAAAUGAAUCAAAACUUUCAACAACGGAUCUCUUGGUUCUGGCAUCGAUGAAGAACGCAGCGAAAUGCGAUAAGUAAUGUGAAUUGCAGAAUUCAGUGAAUCAUCGAAUCUUUGAACGCACAUUGCGCCCGCCAGUAUUCUGGCGGGCAUGCCUGUUCGAGCGUCAUUUCAACCCUCAAGCCCCAGUGGCCUGGUGUUGGGGACCGGCGACCUCGCCCGGGGGAACACCCCCGGCGCGUCCGCCGCCCCCGAAAUGAGUUGGCGGCCCCGUCGCGGCCUCCUCUGCGUAGUAGCACAACCUCGCAGCGGGAGCGCGACGCGGCCACUGCCGUAAAACGCCCAACUUUUUUUAGAGUUGACCUCGGAUCAGGUAGGAAUACCCGCUGAACUUA